GAUUAUCCAGGAGAUCAACGAGUUAAUCCUAGCCGGUGAAAUCGAAGUCGCAAAAGGAAUGCUGCGCACGCUGAUUAAGGUCACGUGCGGUUAUCCAGCGAUUUCAGACGAGGUCGGCAGGAAUUCAAAAUCAAUUAUGCGCAUGUUGUCGCCGGAUGUGGAUCCGGGUGUCAAAGCGUUUAUGCCUGUUGUCAGAGCUGCAGAGCGUCAGUCUGAGAAAGCAGCGGCCCGGGCAAAAAUCCAUUAAGUCAGAAACCGUCACGACGAACCGCCCACAAUGGCCGGUUUUUU
rnacentral:sRNA from 1 species